UCAUUGUUCUUGAAGUUUUUUUUGUAAAAUUCUAUUGUAUUUCUUCUGUGAAAGCCGAUAAGAAAAUGUUUCUCAAUGUAGUAUAUGGUAAUAUAUAUGUACUUUCAUGAUCAGUUUACUUUGAAGCUUUGAAGGUAGCAUUGUUGUUGUUCUAGUUCUUGCUUUCCCUGUGUGAUUACUGUCUGUGAAAGAAAAUUAAAAGAGAAUUAAAUUUUGAAUUAACUUUUGUUGUCAAGCUUGACUAGCUAAGUAUUGGUCAAGACUUGGCUCAUGAGGGUGAUAAGAUAAGAUGCAGACACUGCCUUAUUUGUGCGAGCUAACAAUAGCUAGCAAUAGAUCAUGCCAGUGGUGAGGUAUUGUUAACCUUUGUCCGAUAUUGGAGAAGAACUGACUAGACGUGCAAUUCUAAUUUUGUGUAUUACGCAGGAACAUUUGUAGUCUUGCUCAUACCUAACAAGUGCUCCUUGAAAUCACUGACCAAGUAUUUUUGGCUGUUGGCUCAUACCCAAAGUUUACUGUAUAAAUUUAAGAUCUAACCUGACAUUGGCAGAGUUGUAAGGCAAUGGCUCCCUGUGAUCACAUAUUAAAGUGUUAACCUUAUACCGAGGGCAAUAUGUCGUAUCAAGUAACUGUGGUCAAGAGAAGGAGCUAAUGGCUGUACACUUCGUUGGGUUCCUGUCACAAUGGUGGUAUUCGGGUCCUCCGGCCCAGUCUA